rnacentral:lncRNA from 1 species
CACCCAUGCGUCCAGGGUGUACUUGCCCACACCUAGGCGCUGCAGGCACGCCACCGUCGGCGUAACGCGAUCGGCCUUGAUCUCGAACCCAUUUCCAUAUACACUGUCGCGCCCCACCGUGACCCGUGCCACCACCAUUCGGGCAGGUGCUUCUGUCGUCAGGGGACAUGCGCGGCACCGCGCAUAGAGUGUGACCUUGCGCACACAAAAGGAAUGUGCGCUAUCGCCAUCGCCAGCGACGUGCGUUCUUUCCUUGACUCUCAAAGUCAGCCGGCUGUUGGGGUCGGCCGCGAGGGUGAGCGCCAAUUUGCGCCGCGCGGCAGCCCAUAGAGUGUCGCCCGGCGCCGGGUAAACCACGCCGCGCGCAACCACUUUGGCCAGCGCGACGGCACGCAUUCUGGCCAGGCCCGCGGCGCCGUGGCCCUCGUCGACCUCCAUCCACCGUGGGAUGUCUGCCAAGGCAGCGGGGUGGUGCGCCUCUAGCCACGCUUCGAUCGCGCGCGGCGUCAGACAUUGUUGUCGCGAGGGGUGGUAACCGUCGAGAACGCGGGGACGCCGCGCUACGAGCGCCCAGAACGGGCCGUAGACGCCCCACAUGCGGCCAUGAAGGUCGUGGAGCACGUCGACAUAGGGCCUCCACGCGCGAUAGACCAUGAGCCUUGCAAGAGUCGCGCUCGGGCCUUCAUGGUGCCGGUCGUGGGUGCGAGCGGCGACCUGGCGCACCGCCGCCAAUGCACGCGCGCGCGCCGCCUCGAUGUCGCACGGGAGCCACGCGCCAUGCGCCAGCCGGUGGAUGUAUGCAAUGGCCUGUUGCACAGUGGCGGAAUCACACCGCACGCGGCAACCGCGCAGAGCGCACCCCAGGUGCCCGCAUAGAGCGCCACAUAGACCGGCCAUAUCGUGGACGGCACCUGCCUCGAUCAGAUCCUCGUCGUGCCGCAGAGUGGCCCAGGCGCGCUCUAAAAAAUCGUUCGCCGCGGCGGCGUCUGCGCGACCAAAGGGCUCUGAUGGACCGCGCUCAGAGACAUCGGCCAAGUGUCGGUCGCGCUGCAUCGCGGGCAAAUCGUUGCCAAAAAAAUCCUCUCUUUCCUAUUCUUUCUUUGGGUGUCCACA